rnacentral:rRNA from 1 species
GAUGAACGCUGGCGGCGUGCCUAACACAUGCAAGUCGAACGGGGUUAAAGAGAAAUUUUCGGAUGGAUCUUUAACUUAGUGGCGGACGGGUGAGUAACGCGUGGGUAACCUGCCUUGCACAGGGGGACAACAGUUGGAAACGACUGCUAAUACCGCAUAAGCCGGUAGAACCGCAUGGUUUAUCCGGAAAAGAAUUAUCGGUGCAAGAUGGGCCCGCGUUGGAUUAGUUAGUUGGCGGGGUAACGGCCCACCAAGACCGCGAUCCAUAGCCGACCUGAGAGGUUGAACGGCCACAUUGGAACUGAGAAACGGUCCAGACUCC